rnacentral:lncRNA from 1 species
CUCUCUCUCUCUCUCUCUCUCUCAAAACCAUUCGUUUCUUUUCCUUUCGUUUCCUUUUCCCCAUUGUCACGCCUCCCCCUUCUCUCUCUCUCUCUCUCUCUCUCUCACUUUCUCUCUCCAUAAAUCUCUCUUCCGUCUCUCUCUGUCUCCCCUCUCCUCUUCUCUCUCGUCUCUCUCUAGAAGGUUUAGGGGUUGUGCGUGAGAGAGAUGGGGCAACAGUCGCUGAUCUACAGCUUCGUGGCCAGGGGAACGGUGAU